rnacentral:lncRNA from 1 species
AGGAAAGGUUCCUUCAUGGGAACUUCUUGGAUUCUCUCUCAGGAGUAGUGGGAUGGGGAACGAAGUCAGAAGAUGUCUGCGUGACAUACAUCUGUAUUGGUGUUCCCAGGGCAGGUGGAUGGGGGCGAUGGAAGGAUGCCUGUUUGUUGUUAAUUGCUGUGAAUGAGGCCCAUGGGAUGAACCAGAAAUGCAGGCCACUGAGCAGAACUGCACUUGGACCUGGGGUCGCCACUGCGGAAUGAAACAACAACUUUAUCCAGCAUUUGUUUUACACAGCAGAUGCCCUUUUAGCUGGAACCCGGUACUGGGAAACAUUCAAGCGACAUUGCUAACCACCGAGCCAACGUUUAUUCUUCCUUCUAAACUCUUCCUUCAAAAUCAGCACAGAAAUGUGGAAAAAGGCUAUUUCAUCCUGACUUAAAGAUUAAAUUUUAUUCUCCUGUUUCUUUCAAAGCCAUUUCUGCACCUCUAGAGGCAAUACCCGCGAUUCCAGAGGUAACAGUUGUAUCCAAACAAGCUUCUGACAUGCUUUCUCCAUCUGCCAUUAUUAAAAAAAUACCCUUACCACUAGUUUUGCCUUCUCAGACUGGCUAAUAACCACAGCGGUACACAGUCACACUGUUAUUAUUUGCCAUUCACAGGGCCUAGUUCUGCUAUAGAGACAGGUGUGAUUUCUCAAGACAGCCAGUUCAGUAAUAUGUAGCUGUAAAAAAAACAAACAAAAACACCUGAAUUCCUAGCAGGACCUUUAAUAGGCGUUGCAGGCUGCUAGAGUUGUGCUUUUCUGAAUAGUGUGUAGCAUACGAGAUAUUUUCUCUCCAAUUAAACUGACAUAUC